UGCGUAGGCGGUUCUUUGUGUCCGCUGUGAAAUCCCCGGGCUUAACCUGGGAAUGGCAGUGGAAACUAGAGGACUUGAAUCCGGCAGAGGGGGUGGAAUGCCACGUGUAGCAGUGAAAUGCGUAGAUAUGUGGCGGAACACCGAUGGCGAAGGCAGCCCCCUGGGCUGAGAUUGACGCUCAGGCACGAAAGCGUGGGAGCAAACA
rnacentral:rRNA from 1 species